AAAAUUGUGGCGGUCUCAGUUUCAAAUUUUCUACUUUACAUUGCAACUAUGGACAAUUCACGAUGAAAUGUUUCAGCUGCCUCGUGGGGCCCAAGUAACUUUGCUCAAUCACGGUCUGUGCCAAUACGUCGAAACAGUAUCUAAGGGUGACCUUAGAUGAAUAACGACGAUGUCGAUCGUCGGUAUAACAGCACCAACAACAACAAACCAAGGACUAUCACUCCAGCAGCAUUCCCCGUACGCAUAUGGAUAAUGUUUAUGCUGCUAUAACAACAACUAUAUUUAAAUUUUGUAUACAAAACAACAUCACGGAAAAUUAUUCUGUCACAAGCACGCAAAAUGUAGAAAUUGAUACCGCCAAAAUCAAUAAAAAGUGUAAAUUU